rnacentral:rRNA from 1 species
UUCGCAAUGCCCGAAAGGGUGACGAAGCGACGCCGCGUGGGUGAGGAAGGCCUUCGGGUUGUAAAGCCCUGUCAGGAGUUAAGAAAUGUAGACUCGCUAAUAUCGGGUCUAUUUGACAAAGGCUCCAAAGGAAGCCACGGCUAACUCUGUGCCAGCAGCCGAGGUAAUACAGAGGUGGCAAGCGUUGUUCGGAAUUAUUGGGCGUAAAGAGCACGUAGGUGGAUUUGUAAGUCAGACGUGAAAGCCUUCUGUUCAACGGAAGAAUUGCAUCUGAAACUACAAACCUUGAGUGUAGGAGGGGAGAAUGGAACUUCUGGUGGAGCGGUGAAAUGCGUAGAUAUCAGAAGGAACGCCGGCGGCGAAAGCGAUUCUCUGGCCUAUUACUGACACUCAGUGUGCGAAAGCUAGGGGAGCAAACGGGAUUAGAUACCCCGGUAGUCCUAGCCGUAAACGAUGGGCACUAAGUAGAGGGGUA